rnacentral:rRNA from 1 species
UAAUACGGAGGGUGCUAGCGUUGUUCGGAAUCACUGGGCGUAAAGAGCGCGUAGGCGGAAGGCUAAGUUAGACGUGAAAGCCCCGGGCUUAACCUGGGAUGUGCGUUUAAGACUGGCUUUCUUGAGGGAAGAAGGGGAGAGUGGAAUUCCUAGUGUAGAGGUGAAAUUCGUAGAUAUUAGGAGGAACACCAGUGGCGAAGGCGACUCUCUGGUCUUCACCUGACGCUGAGGCGCGAAAGCGUGGGGAGCAAACAGGAUUAGAUACCCUGGUAGUCCACGCCCUAAACGAUGAGUGCUAGAUGUUGGGAUUUAUAUCUCAGUGUCGCAGCUAACGCAUUAAGCACUCCGCCUGGGAAGUACGGCCGCAAGGUUAAAACUCAAAGGAAUUGACGG